GGGAAUAUUGGACAAUGGGCGCAAGCCUGAUCCAGCAAUGCCGCGUGGGUGAAGAAGGUUUUCGGAUUGUAAAGCCCUUUUGGCAGGGACGAUGAUGACGGUACCUGCAGAAUAAGCCCCGGCUAACUUCGUGCCAGCAGCCGCGGUAAUACGAAGGGGGCUAGCGUUGCUCGGAAUGACUGGGCGUAAAGGGCGCGUAGGCGGCGGCCAAAGUCAGGCGUGAAAUUCCUGGGCUCAACCUGGGGGCUGCGCUUGAUACUUGGUUGCUUGAGUGGGGAAGAGGGUCGUGGAAUUCCCAGUGUAGAGGUGAAAUUCGUAGAUAUUGGGAAGAACACCGGUGGCGAAGGCGGCGACCUGGUCCUUUACUGACGCUGAGGCGCGAAAGCGUGGGGAGCAAACA
rnacentral:rRNA from 1 species